rnacentral:sRNA from 1 species
GGGCUAGUCAAGGUUUCGACAGGGGCUUUGAAGCUGGAGAAGCUAUCCGCAGGCGGUGCGUCAAACCGCAAACUUAAACACAAACGCUGAAGAUAAUUUAGCAUACGCUGCCUAACGGCAGCUGUCUGACUUAGAGCACUCACACUUUAAGACCCAGGCAUCGACUAUGUGAGAAACGAUGCGGGCCAAGCUUUGCCCCCGCAGGCGUAUCAUGAAGCUACCGAGCGUAUCAGGGUGUCUGUUUCCGGGUACGGGAGGGAACGGGCCGGAGAAAGACCGGCCGCAGUCAACAGACUAUGAUAGUAGAAGGACAGGGGAUGGGCUUUUGGACACGGGUUCGACUCCCGUCUAGUCCACUU